rnacentral:misc_RNA from 1 species
CGUUGCUACUCACCUGCGCGGUAUUGGCCAGGCCACCAACCCCCAACAAAGUGCUCAAAUGCUUAAGUGGGAGGACUCUGAAGGCAAUAAUGGUCACAUUACCCCUUAUGUCCUCCCCAAUCUGCCAGUCAAUCUCUGGGGAAGGGACAUCCUCUCUCAAAUGAAACUUGUCAUGUGCAGUCCCAACGAUACUGUCAUGACCCAAAUGCUAAGCCAGGGGUAUCUCCCCGGCCAAGGGUUGGGAAAAAAUAAUCAAGGAACUACCCAGCCCAUUACUAUUACCCCCAAAAAAGACAAAACAGGCCUAGGAUUCCACCAAAAUUUACCGUAGCGGCCAUUGACAUUCCUGUACCCCAACGCUGACAAAA